rnacentral:sRNA from 1 species
UUAUAAUUAUAGAUUAUUGUUAUAGAUAAUUUGGAUGCAAGGGUAAUCAUUAUGUUAAAUUUUCAAAUACUGUUUUUGUUGUUCUUGAUGCCCAAAAUUGCUUUUACUUAUUUUUGAUUUUAUAAAUUUAUUCCAGUGGGCCUUCUUCAGUUAAUGUUCUAACUGAUAAGCCUUAUGGGACCACAUUCCCAAUCAUUGGGAUCGAAGAUAUGACAAAUGCCAUAUUUCUUCUCUUGGACCAUCUGGAGAUAGACAAGCUACACGGUUCGGUGGGCUCAUCCCUCGGAGGAAUGUUAUCUCUUCAGUCAGCUGUCUCUUACCCUGAGCGCGUAGGCAGACUAAUUACAAUAUCUUCUUGUG